rnacentral:rRNA from 1 species
UGCGUGAACAACCAACCUUGUACAGGGGGACAACAGCUGGAAACGGCUGCUAAUACCGCAUAAGCGCACAGAGCUGCAUGGCUCGGUGUGAAAAACUCCGGUGGUAUGGGAUGGGCCCGCGUCUGAUUAGGCAGUUGGCGGGGUAACGGCCCACCAAACCGACGAUGGAUAGGGGUUCUGAGAGGAAGGUCCCCCACAUUGGAACUGAGACACGGUCCAAACUCCUACGGGAGGCAGCAGUGAGGAAUAUUGGUCAAUGGGCGAGAGCCUGAACCAGCCAAGUAGCGUGAAGGAUGACUGCCCUAUGGGUUGUAAACUUCUUUUAUACGGGAAUAAAGUGAGGCACGUGUGCCUUUUUGUAUGUACCGUAUGAAUAAGGAUCGGCUAACUCCGUGCCAGCAGCCGCGGUAAUACGGAGGAUCCGAGCGUUAUCCGGAUUUAUUGGGUUUAAAGGGAGCGUAGGCGGACGCUUAAGUCAGUUGUGAAAGUUUGCGGCUCAACCGUAAAAUUGCAGUUGAUACUGGGUGUCUUGAGUACAGUAGAGGCAGGCGGAAUUCGUGGUGUAGCGGUGAAAUGCUUAGAUAUCACGAAGAACUCCGAUUGCGAAGGCAGCUUACUGGACUGUAACUGACGCUGAUGCUCGAAAGUGUGGGUAUCAAACAGGAUUAGAUACCCUGGUAGUCCACACGGUAAACGAUGAAUACUCGCUGUUUGCGAUAUACAGCAAGCGGCCAAGCGAAAGCGUUAAGUAUUCCACCUGGGGAGUACGCCGGCAACGGUGAAACUCAAAGGAAUUGACGGGGGCCCGCACAAGCGGAGGAACAUGUGGUUUAAUUCGAUGAUACGCGAGGAACCUUACCCGGGCUUGAAAGUUAGUGACGAUUCUGGAAACAGGAUUUCCCUUCGGGGCACGAAACUAGGUGCUGCAUGGUUGUCGUCAGCUCGUGCCGUGAGGUGUCGGGUUAAGUCCCAUAACGAGCGCAACCCCUACCGUUAGUUGCCAUCAGGUCAAGCUGGGCACUCUGGCGGGACUGCCGGUGUAAGCCGAGAGGAAGGCGGGGAUGACGUCAAAUCAGCACGGCCCUUACAUCCGGGGCGACACACGUGUUACAAUGGCGUGGACAAAGGGAGGCCACCUGGCGACAGGGAGCGAAUCCCCAAACCACGUCUCAGUUCGGAUCGGAGUCUGCAACCCGACUCCGUGAAGCUGGAUUCGCUAGUAAUCGCGCAUCAGCCAUGGCGCGGUGAAUACGUUCCCGGGCCUUGUACACACCGCCCGUCAAGCCAUGGGAGCCGGGGGUACCUGAAGUCCGUAACCGCGAGGAUCGGCCUAGGGUAAAACUGGUGACUGGGGCUAAGUCGUAACAAGGUAGCCGUACCGGAAGGUGCGGCUG